UACGAAGGGGGCUAGCGUUGUUCGGAUUUACUGGGCGUAAAGGGCGCGUAGGCGGCCCUCCAAGUCGGGCGUGAAAGCCCACGGCUCAACCGUGGAAUUGCGCUCGAGACUGAAGGGCUCGAGGACGGGAGAGGAUGGUGGAAUUCCCAGUGUAGAGGUGAAAUUCGUAGAUAUUGGGAAGAACACCAGUGGCGAAGGCGGCUCACUGGCCCGAUACUGACGCUGAGGCACGAAAGCGUGGGGAGCAAACAGG
rnacentral:rRNA from 1 species